UCGAAACUGGAUGAAGUUGAGCUGCAGG
rnacentral:piRNA from 1 species